UACAGAGGUCUCAAGCGUUGUUCGGAUUCAUUGGGCGUAAAGGGCGGGUAGGCGGCCACCGCAAGUCGGUUGUGAAAUCUCCGGGCUUAACCCGGAAAGGUCAAUCGAUACUGCAGGGCUAGAGUGCAGAAGGGGCAACUGGAAUUCUCGGUGUAGCGGUGAAAUGCGUAGAUAUCGAGAGGAACACCUGCGGCGAAGGCGGGUUGCUGGGCUGACACUGACGCUGAAGCGCGAAAGCUAGGGGAGCGAACGGG
rnacentral:rRNA from 1 species